rnacentral:misc_RNA from 1 species
UCUCCGUUGGUGAACCAGCGGAGGGAUCAUUAAUGAGUUACUAAACUCCAAAACCCUUUGUGAACCUUACCGUCGUUUCCUCGGCGUGUGCUGCGGCUACCUGGAGCUUACCCUGGAAGGCACCUACCCUGUAGGUUAGGUGUCUACCUUGGAGCUACCCUGUAGUCGCGUGAAGGCCCGCCGAAGGACCGUUAAACUCUUGUUUUUACAACUGUAUCUCUGAAUACGUAACUGAAAUAAGUUAAAACUUUCAACAACGGAUCUCUUGGUUCUGGCAUCGAUGAAGAACGCAGC